GGGUUGUGAGGUUAAGCGACUAAGCGUACACGGUGGAUGCCCUGGCAGUCAGAGGCGAUGAAGGACGUGCUAAUCUGCGAUAAGCGUCGGUAAGGUGAUAUGAACCGUUAUAACCGGCGAUUUCCGAAUGGGGAAACCCAGUGUGAUUCGUCACACUAUCAUUAACUGAAUCCAUAGGUUAAUGAGGCGAACCGGGGGAACUGAAACAUCUAAGUACCCCGAGGAAAAGAAAUCAACCGAGAUUCCCCCAGUAGCGGCGAGCGAACGGGGAGCAGCCCAGAGCCUGAAUCAGUGUGUGUGUUAGUGGAAGCGUCUGGAAAGGCGCGCGAUACAGGGUGACAGCCCCGUACACAAAAAUGCACAUGCUGUGAGCUCGAUGAGUAGGGCGGGACACGUGGUAUCCUGUCUGAAUAUGGGGGGACCAUCCUCCAAGGCUAAAUACUCCUGACUGACCGAUAGUGAACCAGUACCGUGAGGGAAAGGCGAAAAGAACCCCGGCGAGGGGAGUGAAAAAGAACCUGAAACCGUGUACGUACAAGCAGUGGGAGCACGCUUCGGCGUGUGACUGCGUACCUUUUGUAUAAUGGGUCAGCGACUUAUAUUCUGUAGCAAGGUUAACCGAAUAGGGGAGCCGAAGGGAAACCGAGUCUUAACUGGGCGUUAAGUUGCAGGGUAUAGACCCGAAACCCGGUGAUCUAGCCAUGGGCAGGUUGAAGGUUGGGUAACACUAACUGGAGGACCGAACCGACUAAUGUUGAAAAAUUAGCGGAUGACUUGUGGCUGGGGGUGAAAGGCCAAUCAAACCGGGAGAUAGCUGGUUCUCCCCGAAAGCUAUUUAGGUAGCGCCUCGUGAAUUCAUCUCCGGGGGUAGAGCACUGUUUCGGCAAGGGGGUCAUCCCGACUUACCAACCCGAUGCAAACUGCGAAUACCGGAGAAUGUUAUCACGGGAGACACACGGCGGGUGCUAACGUCCGUCGUGAAGAGGGAAACAACCCAGACCGCCAGCUAAGGUCCCAAAGUCAUGGUUAAGUGGGAAACGAUGUGGGAAGGCCCAGACAGCCAGGAUGUUGGCUUAGAAGCAGCCAUCAUUUAAAGAAAGCGUAAUAGCUCACUGGUCGAGUCGGCCUGCGCGGAAGAUGUAACGGGGCUAAACCAUGCACCGAAGCUGCGGCAGCGACGCUGAUGCGUUGUUGGGUAGGGGAGCGUUCUGUAAGCCUGUGAAGGUGUGCUGUGAGGCAUGCUGGAGGUAUCAGAAGUGCGAAUGCUGACAUAAGUAACGAUAAAGCGGGUGAAAAGCCCGCUCGCCGGAAGACCAAGGGUUCCUGUCCAACGUUAAUCGGGGCAGGGUGAGUCGACCCCUAAGGCGAGGCCGAAAGGCGUAGUCGAUGGGAAACAGGUUAAUAUUCCUGUACUUGGUGUUACUGCGAAGGGGGGACGGAGAAGGCUAUGUUGGCCGGGCGACGGUUGUCCCGGUUUAAGCGUGUAGGCUGGUUUUCCAGGCAAAUCCGGAAAAUCAAGGCUGAGGCGUGAUGACGAGGCACUACGGUGCUGAAGCAACAAAUGCCCUGCUUCCAGGAAAAGCCUCUAAGCAUCAGGUAACAUCAAAUCGUACCCCAAACCGACACAGGUGGUCAGGUAGAGAAUACCAAGGCGCUUGAGAGAACUCGGGUGAAGGAACUAGGCAAAAUGGUGCCGUAACUUCGGGAGAAGGCACGCUGAUAUGUAGGUGAAGUCCCUCGCGGAUGGAGCUGAAAUCAGUCGAAGAUACCAGCUGGCUGCAACUGUUUAUUAAAAACACAGCACUGUGCAAACACGAAAGUGGACGUAUACGGUGUGACGCCUGCCCGGUGCCGGAAGGUUAAUUGAUGGGGU
rnacentral:rRNA from 1 species